UGUUAACACACAGUCAUGUGCUUCAAACAAGCUAUGGUACAUAGCUAACUUUAGAUAUAUAUGAUCCAGGAUUUUAAAAAGUAAGGACACGUUAAUUGUACGAUUUUGUGGACAUUAUUUCAGCUAGAGGGCCUUCCAGAGGACAUUGUGUCUGAACGUGGCUCCCGAUUCACAUCACGUGUAUGGAUAGCCUUCAUGGAGAAGCUGUGGGUUGCGGUGAGCUUCAUGUCCGAAUACCAGCCACAGGCAUACAGGCAGGUGGAGAGGACCAACCGGGAGGUUUCUUCAAAGCUACUGCCCGAAAAAUCAAGACUGAUACCUUGGAUAAAGGACUGGGAGUGGUGUCUUCCCAGGAAGUGGAGGGGGAGGAGCGACCGGUCAGUACUCUACAUCAGCAGAAGCUCAGCCCCAGGGAGAGUUGGUACAGUACCAUCGAGAAGGAAUGCCUCGCCAUAAAAUGCUCUGUGCUGACUCUCCGGUACAACCUCCUGGGGGAACACUUUGACCUCUAUUCGGAUCAUGCCCCGCUCCAUUGGCUGCACAGAAUGAAGGACACCAACGCCUGGAUGUAAAUAACUACACAAGCUGAAAUCCUUGUGGGGUUUUCCUAUUGUCCUAUUCAGUCAAACUUACUUAUUUCACAAGGAGAAAACUCUGAUUUUCAAAUUCAAGAAACUGUAUUGAAACUAAAUGUUUCAAUGCUGUUUGCUAUAAUGUUCAGUGAUUUUGCAUUGUCUUUCACCUGGAAUACAUUCAAUACCCUUUUCCCUUUCAGUUUGAGGUUUUCAUGUUUUGUUCACAUUAUGAUUAAGAUAUUUUGAAGAAAGUGAAUCUUUUUAUGUGUUUUGUGGUUUAUGAAAAUAAAAAAAUGAGUAUCACUUGUAGUAUCACUACAAAAUCACCUGUUCAUGUUCAGUAAAAUUUGUCAGACAAAUACAUACAAAGUUUCAUUGAGGAGACCAUUAAUUCUGACCAAAUCCCCAACUCUAUUUGCAGAAAUGCAGCCCCAAACUUGCAAGGAACCUCCACCAUGCUUCACUGUUGCCUGCAGACACUCAUUCUUGGACCACUCUUUUCUGCACCCCAGUUCCUAUGUUUUUGUUUUUGAGUCGCUUGGCCUUGUUUCCACAUCGGAGGUAUGGCUUUUUGGCCACAAUUCUUCCAUGACCAGACUAGAUGGGUGUACCUGUGUCCCACUGGUUUCUGCCAAUUUUUCUGUUACAGUUAAUCGUUCUUCUUUCUUGGCUGGGAAAGUUGGUGGCAUGUGCAUUGUAUGUAUGCCAAGUUUCUCUGACUGACUGGCUCUCACAAGGUGCAGAACAGGCCCCUUUGAGACAUGGAUGCAGGCCAUUAACUGGAAAUCAUAAUAGUCAUUUUAAAUGGAAAAAAACCCACAGGACACCUGAUUAGAAAUUAAUAAUGCAUUGCAAGUUCAUAUGCUUAAGCAAACAGGGGGAUAACUAAAAUAGAUAAAGGAGAGGGGACUUCUCUGGUUAUUUAUGACCAAUGUAAAAUUAAGCACUUCCAAUCUUUGUCUUUUUACACUCAAAUAAGAACAUGAGCACACCCCACCGUGAUAUUCUCUUAUUUCUCUUGAGAAAGUGUGUUAUUUAUUUUUUUUGCAAUGUACAGUACACCUAUUUCAGUUUCACCAUUAAAGUUACUCAAGCCCGCUUUACUGAGACCACAGUUAUUUUAUUUCAAGUCUGGUUUUUUAAAAUUUGUUGUCGGGUAGUUGAUAAUUCUACUUAAAUCAUGCAUGUGUUGGUAUAUCCCAGAAAUGUAUAUAUAAUUGUAUUCCCUACUCUGCUUUCUGCCUGAUUUCACUGCUACCUCCUCUCAGGGUAAUAAAUUCUUACAUUGGAACGCUGAGACCCAGAUCUAAGCCAUUAACACACACUACCCCCACUUUGGGUCUAAAUGAGUCUCACCCCAUGCUGUCAUUCUCCCACAAGAUCAAUGCAACAGUACUGGCCUGCUUAUUAACACCACCUUGCCAGACAUCUCCCGUACCGCAAAUCCUACUUGUGUAAGCAAAUCCUGCCACAUGUCACUCCUUAGGGCCAGUGAUGACCAUAAAUAGUUUCCAUUCCGCCUAACUUCACGGAGCAACAGUGUCCUCUUUUUGUAAGACAAAGUAACCACGGCCUCCGUUGACAAUAUUGGAAUAGCUAACAUUAAAAUCUUUAUUGGCAUACGUGGGUAACAUGAUUAUCCUUAUCGGUGAAUAACAUACCUGAUAUUGAUGUGUAUUUCAGUCAAAAUAAAUUGGGAGUAACCAUUCUUGAUAUGUACUCAAAUUGGUAGAUCAAGACAAAUUAAGCUUUGUGAAAAUAAUUUCCGCAUCGAACAAAAGUAAAAAACAAAUGAUCUUUAUAAUAUUUUUCAGAAAGCCCCACUAUUAGUUGAGUCCAAGUGUUACGAGGACCCCAAAGGAGGAAGGUUUUCCUUACAACCAAUAGGGCCAACCAGAGCACACACCUAAGACCAACAAUGAUAUAAGGAUAACUCAUAUAUAGAUCGAUAUGAGGCUUUUUUUGUUUUUGUUUUUUAGGUUUUAGUGAUAUCUUUGUAGUUUCUCUUUAACCAAAAAACAUGACAAUGAGGGGUAAUCUCCCAGGAAGUCCUUCCUAGCCGUAUUCCAAAGUUUUCAGCUCAUUGAACCCUGUCUAAUUAUCAGCUUAAUAUAUAGCACCAAGAUAAUAAUGGGACUCUUUAUUAUAGAAUAAGUUCAGCCUUUUGGUAGAUGCGGCGAUAGUUUUUUAAAUUCGGCACCCAGAGUUUUGCUAGACCAACUGCUUCCUUUGUUUCUUCUCAUUACCCUCCUUCCUAUCUUCUUGGUUAAGUAGGAUGAACAACGUAGCUAAACCUUCAUACAAUAAUUCACGUACUGGUUAAGUGUGUCUGUUCUUAGUAAACGUAACAUCUUUAUCAGCAGAUUAUUCCUUUAAUUUGUACGAAACCUAUCUUCUU